rnacentral:lncRNA from 1 species
CGACCUGAAACAGAAGUUACAUCACUUCAAGAUUCAAGAGUUCGCACUAUUCGUGUAAGCCCAAACGCUUUCCCCAACGAUUGCCUUGGACCAAUGGCGGGAUGCUCUGUUCGCUCCUGAAGAAGUCGGUUGGAUCCACCGCCGCCUUCACCGCGGCGAGCCUUCGGAAGUUGCCGGCGAAGUACUUCUCGCCCCACACCUUGCCGCCGUCGAACGUGGUGACGUCGUUGACCACCGUGUUCACGCCGAUGUCCAGGUCCCGGUAGUUCACGUACGCCACCCUCGGGUUCUUGCACACGUACUGCCCCAUGAAGUCGUAGAAGUUGUUGAUCCAGCUCGUCGCCGCCGAGCCGUCGUUGCCCCAAGGCCAGAAGGUGAUGUACUGGAUGUUGUACAGCACCCCGCUCCGGUGCGGGUACGGCGUCGCCGACGCCGGGAUGGUGCCGAUGAACCCCCCGUGUGGCUCGAGGAUGAUCAUCCCGGCGCCGUCCAUGGCGAACCAGGGGAAGAUCUUGUUCCAAUCGUCCUUGGCGAUGGCGCGCCGGACGUAGUCGGACUUGUUCUUGGUGAAGGUGCUCAGGCUGGUGCCGCGGCUGAGCAGCGACUCCACCGGCGCGUUGGGGUUCCAGGAGUUGAAGAAGACCACCGACUGCAGCCAGGUCAUCUCGAGGCAGUCGCCGCCCGUCAUGCCCAGCUCCGGGAAGAGGUUGCUCAGCAUCGGCACGACGUCGCUGCACUUGCCGAGGUACAGGGACUGGAACGUCACCUGCUGUCCCAUGAUGAUCACCCGCAUGUUGAUGUCGAAGGGGAGCGUCGGCCCAACCUCCUGCCAUCUGGUCAGGACGUCGAUGGCGCCCUGGUCCACCGUCCUCACGAUGUUGAACGCCGUGACGGUGGACGGGACCUUGACGAGGCUCACUUUCCACGACACGACGAUGCCGAAGUUCCCGCCGCCGCCGCCGCGGAUGGCCCAGAAGAGGUCCUCCCCCAUGGCCGCCCGGUCGACGAGGUCGCCAUCGGCGUUCACCAGCUUGGCGUCGAGGAUGUUGUCGAUGGAGAGGCCGAACUUGCGCAUCAGCAUGCCGAUCCCGCCGCCGCUGAAGUGGCCGCCGACGCCGAUGGUCGGGCAGAUGCCGGCCGGGAACGCGACCUCGGAGUUGUUCUUGGCGACCGUGUAGUAGAGCUCCCCGAGCGUCGCGCCGGACUCGACCCACGCCGUGGGAGCCAGCGGCCACACGGCGUCGGAGCCGACGGUGAUGGCGCGGAGGCCGGCGAGGUCGACCACCCCGAACACAUCGCCCUGCUGUAGGGACCGGUACGAGAGGCCCUCGUAGUCGUGCCCGCCGCUGCGGACGCGGACGCGCACGCCGUGCGCGCGGCCGCAGCGCACGGCGGCCUGCACGUGGGAGGCGUCGGUGGCCGUGACGAUGCAGAGCGGCCGCACCAUGUCGCCGGUGUAGACCCUGGGGUUAUGGACGGAGGACGCCAGCACGUCGGUGAAGUUGCUCGCGCCCUGCGUGUAGAUGAGCCCGCUGGGGAUGUUCCCCAACAGGCACUGCAGGAAGCCGUCGGAGUUAGGCGUAGCCGAGGUUGGAGUGGUGAGGUAGCAGCAAGAGGAGAAGGUGAGGAUGAGCGCUAGUGCGGCUAGGCCUCUGAACGUUGCCAUCUUGGCUGCUUCGUCUUGCAAUGCCAAUGCAACAGUGCUUGUUC